UCUUCCAUGUUUCCUUGUGGUGGCUAGGUUUCAGCAGGAGCAGAGCUCAGAAGGUGGCAGAUUAGAAGUUCAGUGGACAGGCCAGAGGCACAGUAAUUGCCCAAUAUCACCUUCUGAAGUGUUUUUAAAGUCUGUGUUCAAACAUCAAAGAUCAAAAAUCAAAAUAGUCUACAGACUUUUGAAUUGAAAGCAACAACUCUCAGGAGUUCUUAUAUUAUAUGAAGGAUUAGCUAUCAUAUGACAUUGUCUGGAGGACCACGUGAAAAAAAGCUCAAUCCAUCUCAAGACUUCCAAAAGAAACUCAAGGAACGAUCCUGAGACUAAUUUUGAAAGAAGAGCAGGUAUCAAUGAAGACAGAUGUGAAAGAAAUUCCCAGGAAGUAUCCAAAUGAGGUGCCACAAGAGCUAUUGGAGAUAAAGAAGGUUUACCAGGAGACCUUCUUAUACAAAACAAUGCUCUUGGCAAAGGUGUUCCAGGUGCUGCAGAGCUGACUUGAGUAAUCACUUUGUGAGAAACAGUUACAUAAAUAGAAGGCAUAUAUUUGCUGCACAACCACUUCACACUUUUGACAGAACUACUCCUCUACGCCCUCUCCCCCUCACCUCCCACCUUCUCACCAAGACAUGGAAGAUGGAACAAUAUGAUGAUUUUCUUCUAUAAUAACUACUAGGUCCAACUAUGUGUGGCAAACAGGCAUUUCAGUUGACAUAGGUCAUGGUUGAUGAAAAAUUAUAGCAGACAAAGGGAAGCAACAUGUUCCAAAAAAACCAACCCUCUGGAAAUUACAGACGUGAUGAUUCUCCUCAGAUAUAUGACACAGAUGAAACCAGGAAAGGAGGAUUGCAUAAGUGUUCUGAACAUUUUGUUGCCAGAUCUAACAGUGACCUUGUGCAAUUGUCAAAGAUGGCUAAGGAACCGGUAAACACAAAAAUUAGAUAAUAGCCAUGGAAGAAAAAUAUGUCAAGAAGUAGCUUGCACCAGUGAAAAUUCUUCAUGAAGGAGAAGAUCAAACAAAAUUUUUAUCCUUGUUCGGAAAGCAAAGAGAAAGUGGUAAAGAUGAGAAUUAUAUUCAGUCAUCAUUGCCUGUCCUUUCCAACUCAGAAUAUUCUGUGACUCUCUGACUCUGUGAAGACCAAUUAAGAUCUGCUGAGUUCAGAGACCCACAAGGAUCAUUGAAGGCCAAUUCUUGGCCCUGCAUAGGACACCUGUAAGAAUCAUACCAUGUGCCUGAGAGCUUUAUCCAAACUGUCAGGCCUGCUGCUGUGACCACUUCCUUGGGAAGCCUCUCCUGAUGGAGAAGUCUGUAAUUUUGGUGUCUGGUUGUGUGCAAAUUGCUCAAGUUCUAUAUGAAGCUUUUAAUAAUUUCAGCCUUUAUAUUGUAUAUUUUUAGUCUUACCUUAGGUAAUAUCUAUCACAUAAUUGUAAUAUGAUGGAUACAACUUUGUUUAGCUGACUUCCUGCACAUAAAAGAUUUCUAAUUUAAUAGCUAAAGAUUCAAUUAUUAGCAAGAAGACAUAUGAUGCAGGAGAAACAUACCAUGUCUGGUCCUACAUCUGAGAGUAUUGAAGACCAGCAUAGAGAAAAAAGGAGACAUUUUACUAACAUACUAGGUGAAAGAGGACAAUAAAAUUAAUGGAGAUGUGCUGAAUAAUGGGGAGAAUAAAAUUCUUAUUUAUUAUAUGAAAUAACAAUUCUCUUGAAAACUUGUCCUAAAAUACUCUUUCGAUGUGUUCCCAAGUAUGAACUCUCAUUUGAUUCCCCUUAGGGCUUCAUUCACUUUGUUUUCAAAUUCAAGUGACAUCUCCUGAACAAAUAUUGAAGUUCAUCUAGUUUUCUGAAAAGACCUUUUUAUUUUCAGUCUAGUCUGGUUUUGUGCUGCUGAAUUGUAUUCUGCCUGAGAAGAACUGUAACCUCUUCACUUCAUCUUCCUCAGCCAAACAUUUCACAUGGUUUAUUCAUAAAAGACAUCAAAUAUUUUCUGCCAAAAAAAUCAAAAAAACCCCUGGAAGAUGGCUGGAAAAUGACUGAGAAAAUAUGGAACCAUAUGUCUGAAAGAGAUCUCAGGACCUUGAUUCAUAUCGUGACUCAUUCUAGCAUUAACUAUCAUCUCAUAAACAUUUGUCUAACUGUUACAGAAAUGUCUCCUGAUAGUGAUUUGAAACUUCCCUGAGCUCUGUUAAGAGUUUCUUUUUGGCAUUUACCCCAAAUCUGUAAUUUCAGGCUUGGUAUAUUUUCAGAGAUUAUACUAGGGAGGGGUCAGUGCACCUUACUUCCCUCCAUAUAGUUUUUCCCAAGGAGUUUUUACUGGCUAGUGUUGUAUACAAAAGGAACGCUCAAUUAGUUGGACCUUUUGGCUAAGUAAAAACUUUUUUAACAUCACCCCUUUCAGUCCUCUGUAGGCUUUCCUUGUCUUUCCCCUAGAUGAGACAGUUUUCAAAUUUCCCAUAGUCAGUUGUGUGGGUUUUUUUUCCCCUUGACAUCUCAUCAUUCUCAUUUCUUAUUUUAUUUAAUAUUUUGAAAGUUGGAAACUGCUUUUGAAUUGAUGAAUUUUUGUUCUCUGAUUUGCAUGUAACACAUUCUAUACUGACUGUUGAAAAUCUGUCCGUUAAAAUUUGUUAAUAAUAAUGAUACUAGUCCAAGACAAAUCUAUGUGGUCAUCACCAGAUAACUCACUCAAAUUUCAUAAUGAACAGUAAAAAUAAAUAUUUUACUAUCAAAAUACACCUUUUCAAACCAGUUUUUCAUCCAGCUCAAUGUUUUCUUAUGAAAUCAUCAUGUAAAAUAAAAAUUGAAAUUUAUCUAUGCAUAUAUAUUACCUUAUAUGUUACAUAUACUUCUUCCACUUUUCAUCAAAGAUGAUUUUUCUGCCACAGAGGAAACAAAAUUGUUUUGAUCUGGUUUGUUCUUAUCGCAAGCCAAAAUUCUAUGAGUUCUUUCAUUGCCCCUAGCCACUAGAACUUAGAUUCUGCAUACCUAUAUGAGGAGAGGCUUUUGUUCAGAAACCUAAAAACUUUCAGUAAUUACUCCAACCUAAUUUUCCCUUUUUUUUUUGUUUUUAUUUUGGUGUUUUUUGUUUGCUUUGUUCAAAUACUUACGUUUAACAGUUAGGGAAAUAGCUGAUACUACUCAUAUUUCUUUGGCUGCCUUCAUAUGAGACCUCAACAGUUUCUGACUAGAAGGUCAGUCCUUAGCUACUAUAGAUAAAGGAAAUAACUUUUUUUUUUCCCGAAUUUUCCUCUAUACAUAGGUUUCCUACCUGAAAUCUGUCUUGUUUAAUUUCUGUUUUCUGAACACUGAGGGAAUGUAGAUAUGAGCCAGACUCAGACAAAAGACAGUUAUUAAAAAACCCUUAUCUGGCAAAAACAUACCAAAAUCCUAUUUAUGCUUCAGAUCAGGUUCAAGCCUUCCAUUUUGAGCCAACUUCUUACAGAAAUGUUCUAUAUGUGACCUUCUUUUCUGACCCAAGAGCUCUGCAUAAGGCAUUUUAAAAAAUGAAUGAUUUGUCAGUAAAGAAAACGUAUUAGAUUGCAUAAAAAUACCAUUCCAAUUUAAUGUCAGAUGAAACCAGUACAGAUAUGUGUCAGCUCCUCAUAAAAUUAAAUUUAAGUAAAAGUUUGGCUGAGGUUCCAAAACAUCCUUUUAGCUUCUGUCAUUUCACAUAGGUUUUACUUUUCAAAUUCUUACAGAAAUCAGAAGUGUGGAUGCUUUAAUGACAGAAAAUAGCUUCUAACCACAUUUAACUGUUUGAAAAGCUCUUGUAGGCGAUUGUAUGUCAAAAUUAUCUCCUGGUAUUUUGAAGAAUUUGGUGUAUAGAGGGUCAAGAUGUAGCAACAUCUUAACCAUGUCAUUUUUAGCAACUUUGACCUUAACAUGUUCUACUCGACUCCUAAGGGAGAACAAGGAUCUGUCCUUGUGCAAGUUCCAGUGUUUGCUGAUGACAAAAAUAAUUCAAUAUUCUGUGCCAUUUACCUUUAAAUGUUACCUCUCACUUGGUAGAAGGCUUUUCUGGUGGUUCUAGUAAUUUUGAUGCGUUGGUUUUCAGGUUGUAACUCAAGAAAUCUUUUUGUUUGCCAGUUAUUUGGGGAAAGGAAAAAAAAAGUAAAAUCCAUUUUCAAGAUCUCAGGUUGAAGUUUAAAAUCCAUUACUCAGAAAAGCUGAAGACCUUGAAAAUGAUUUCUGUAAAAUACUCUAUUACUUCAACUAUUGCAAAAUUACUUCCUCUUAUAAAAUUCAUGGUCAAGUCUCAUGGAAUAAAAUGCUUGAAGCUAUCCAGUGACUAACAGGAAAUGCUUGCAUGGGUUAACUUAUGAAGUUUUUCAGGGUUUCCAUUAUAAUUUGCAGCUGCCUAAUUAUUGAUUUAAUUAUAGCUGACACCCUAUCUUUUAAAAACUGCAGCAGUGGAGAAAUCUGUGGCUGGAAGUGGGCAUUGACUUGCUUUCAUGGUCCUGCUCUGUGAACUAAACAGUUGUCUAACAUUUUUUUUCAUUAUUUAUUAGAAAAAUAAAAAAACACAGUGAAUCAACUCUAACUUUCACAGAUGUAUUUCCAGUUUGAAAGCUCAGAGUGUUUUGUGGUUGGGUUUAUUAGCGGGGUUUUUUUGGUAGCUGAUGUGGUGUGUCAGAUUUCAGUCUGAAGUACUCUGUAUUGCCUUCAGUUACCUUUCAUUUUCCAAAAGCAAAGUAUAAAUUUGGAAUUUUCAUCACCAUUCAUUCAUUUAAGUUUUUUCUUGGCAGCUGAUUUCCUUUUUCUUGUGCUCAGUAGUAUUGAUGUUCUGGGUCAAGGUUCACUCUCCAUAUUCAAUGUAAAUGGAUUAUAGUUUAAGCAUAAAUUGAUUUUCUAUGCCUUUUUCUUAAUCAGUUUUCACUCUAUUUUACAGUUACUGCUGUCUUUCUAAAGAUUAAUUGCACAGUAUUAAGACUGUUAUAAUUCAUUAUGCUAGAAGAUAAAAACUAGUUCAUCACUCAGUCACAUUUACUACUUUGACCAUUCUUUACCUUUGGAUUAGGAUUGUGUCAGGAAUAGUUUAUUAGGUACUUCACUUAUUCAAGUAAAAAUAAAAAAGUUCAAGACUUCAUAAUUUGCAUUAAACAUAUUGUUUUCUUUAUUUUUUUUUAAUCUUCAAAAAUUUGGUCAAAAAAUGAAAAGUUAUGCAUUGUUUAUACCAAGAUUUAUUUAUACCAUCAGAAGGGAAAGGUCGGUGUUCAGUAUCUUGAGUAUUCUCCAUGUUGUUUACUCCUUUGUCUAUGAGUUAUAGUCAAUAUGCUUGUUGGUAUAAUUAGUGUUAUAUAUUUCUUCAUUUUUCAGCACAGUGAUGUCUUCAUAAUUUUAUCCAAGAUUUAUGGAAUUUGUACAUGUUUAAUGAAUACUUGUUUCAUUUUUUUUUCAUUUUUUCUUCUUUUCUUCACUUCAGUCCACUAAUAACUGAGGUGAUCUUUCUCAAAGAAAUAAAACAAACAAGUGAAAAAAAAUUCCUCACAAUUCUUUCUGUACUCUCUGUUGGUCCUGUCUGAACUUCUUAUGCAUCACCAGUGGAAUUACACAAGA